rnacentral:tRNA from 1 species
CCCCAGUUCAGCUCAGUUGGUGGAGCGCUCCUUUCGAAAUGGAGAGGUCCCGGGUUCAAUACCCGGACCAAGCG